rnacentral:lncRNA from 1 species
GAAUUGUGUCACUCCCAUUGAGCAGGUGUGGGGGCCUCUCCCACAUGGUCCAGGUCCACCACUCUGUCAAAGGUCGCACAGCCCAGACAAAAACAGCACACAGCAGUGUGUGAAUGAGCCGGGCUUUCUCCUUCCCUCCACGUAAUAAAAGGUGCCUGAGGUUGUUGAAACACAGUCCAUUUCUCCUGGGAAUGACAAGAAUUUGAGGGAUGCUGACUUUCAAGGAAUACUGCAUGACAGGCAUCAAGAUAAACCUGAUGAAGAAAACAUAGGCCAGAAUCUCGGAAUCGGGAGCAAAGUAAUACAGCUUCGGGGACAGGCACGUAAUGAGGUCAUGAUGUAGCAGACUCCCUGCAGGACUGGCGGCCCCUGUUCCCUGGGCUGUUCUGGCUCUUUCAGAACCUGACCCUGGAACAGGACUGAGCAGGUGCCUGUGUGCACAGAAGAUCUUGCGUGAGUCCUCUGGUACCAUGUUUGCUGCACGAAUGUCUGAGACACCUCACAGUCGCUUGGUUCAGC